UACGUAGGCAGCAAGCGUUGUUCGGAAUUACUGGGCGUAAAGAGUGUGUAGGUGGUGUCGUAAGUUUGGUGUGAAAUCUCCCGGCUUAACUGGGAGGGUGCGCCGAAGACUGCGAUGCUGGAGUAUGGGAGAGGAAAGCGGAAUUCCUGGUGUAGAGGUGAAAUUCGUAGAUAUCAGGAGGAACACCAGUGGCGAAGGCGGCUUUCUGGACGGUAACUGACGCUGAGACGCGAAAGCGUGGGGAGCAAACAGG
rnacentral:rRNA from 1 species